ensembl:lincRNA
CAAAGCAGGCACAGUCCCAAACAGGACGUCAGUGGGGACCUCCCACACAGAGGGGAAUGAGCAGAGGGUCCUGGGAGCUCUGGAAUCUGCUGAAGAAUAAGCACCUCCAGGCCCCAUGGAAUGGGAUAACAAUUGCUGCGCAGCUCCGUGCACUUCGCAAAGCGUCCUUUCCUUCUGCUGUGAUCACAACUCUGAACAGAACAGGAAUGGCAGUGGAGAACCCCAAACCAGACAAAGUGGCCUCUGGAAACAAAGUAACAAAGCUUCUGACAAAGAAACAAAAUAGAUCACUACCUGGUGUGGUGGAGGACACCUGUAACCCUAGCACUCAGGAGGCUGAGGCAGGAGGAUCAUUGCAAGCUUGAGACCAGCCUAAGCUACAAAGUGAGCUCAAGGCCAGCCUGAACUGCAUAGCAAAACUGUCCCAAAAAGACAAACAGAAAAAAAAAAAAAAAAUACAUGACUGAAACAGAGAAGGUAGGAAGCAGGAGAAAGAGGAAACUUCUUUCUAUGAUUAUGGUUGGCCAAAUCUGACAGUCCUAAGCCCAGACUAUUCUGGAUGACACUCGGGGUCCCUUCUCAGGGAGUGCUGCUUGGAGUUCUGGGGACCACGGCAUACUGGAAAUAUAACACGGAAAUAAAAAUGGAAAUGUCUGAAAAGUGCUUUGGAGCAAACCUCACAAUUUAGGAAUAUCACUGUGCACUUGCCCUUUCUUUGGGGGGCUGGUCUGAAAAGCUGGUAGUUAGCAGCCACCGUGAGCAGCACUGAUUCUUCUUGCCUCAUGCAGAUGGGAGAGCUGACUGCCCGGGACACCAGGAGACACAGGGAGAGAAAUGGUCAAAGCGGGGUUGAACCGCUCUGCCCUCCCUUGGGCAAGCAGUGCACACCGGAUGGCUCUGUUAGAGCUCGCUUUUCUCUGUCCUGCUGCAUGCUGGGAAGCAGGGACAGGUGAGGAACACAGCCAAGGUGGGGUGGGAUUAGAACCCACGCUGCCUAUGGGAGGGAGGAAACACGCUCCAAGAAUCGCUGUGACUGCGCUCAAACCUCCACAGUCUAUACAGGCUCAUGGCAGGGUUCAACGCUCCCUCCUGGCUGGAGCUCAAGAUCCUUAAGGACGACUGAGCCUAGCUGGAUGGGAGGAGGCCCCACCGGGCACAAGGGAAAUCAGCUCGGUGAUUAAACAUCUCGACGGCCCUGGAAACGCCUCCGCACAUCUGUGCGUAUUUCUCUUUCUCCCCUCGCCCCUUCCCUCCGGAAAUCAAAGCUUGUUCUGAUUUACAGAUUACCACACAGACAGCACAGUACCAACCCCAGCGAGCCAGUCAGGUUGGCAGCUUGACUCUCUCUUCUACCAUUUCGUUAAACACCAGUCCGGGCCUGCAGUUCGCCUGGACCCAGGGUUCUGCUCUUUCCGCAAGUGGCGGCCAGAGGUGAGAGGAAGACCCAGAUCAGGGCCCUGGGGUUGGCGUUGCCCCGGCAACCGGCCGGUGAAGUCCCAGCGUGGACAGCUGAGUGGUGCUCUGUAGAGCAAAUACUGUCUUUCUGUUCAUCUAUUCAAUUCCUGCAACAGUGGUAUUAAACAGCUAAUACGCACCUGACCUGUCCACAGGGGGAGGGCGGCUGCUGUAGGUGUGCGCACCUAAUGCUGUCACCGCACUGUGGACAGGGGCCUGCCCUCAGGAUCAUCUGUUCUAGCCUGGGUUUAUAACUGUAUAGGAGCAGCAUAGAGGAACGUCAUAGAUGAAGGGCAUCGGCGAAGCUGGCGAGCUCAGGCCCAGUUGGGAGGAAACCGAGAAAGGAGUAGCGAUUGGCUGGGGUUGUAAGGCACACACAGUGUGAAAGCUACGCUCACAACACAGAUUCUCUUCUGAGCCACACAGAGGAAGUGAAGGAAAAAGAGAAGAGAAGAGAAGCGUCCAGACCCAGGUCGGCUUGUGGACACCUCAGAAAACCGAGAAGCUGGUUCACAUGAGCGUCUCCUGCACAUGGGGCCCCAGGGCACCCCACUUUCAUAUCCUCUCCUCUGUUGAAGGGGAGUCUGUGAAACCAGAUUCCUCCACACCUCCCCUUGUGGUGCGCACUUUCACUCUCAGCCCUCCCCUCCCGCCCCCCUACCCAGCCAAGGGCAGAUAACCUGCUCACAGGAAGUGACUCAGGCAGUGGUAUAAAUUACCAAUGUUGACACUGCACGUUACCUAGGAGCAGAUUGUGCCUUUGAGAGACAGGCAGCCUUUAUACAAAUAAAUGACGCUGGUUCUCGGCUCCAGGUGCCAGAGGACCAAAGCUCUGUGUGCUGCUGGGAGGGGGUGGCCCCCAAGACACUCCGAGACACCCCACCGCCUCUGGACACUUACUCCACUCUACCUUCUAGAUGGGUUUACUGGGGUCUUCUCUCCACCCAGUGCAACUCCUUUGAGGGUACUGCUGUCCACCUUGCUACCUCGGAGGGCCCAGAACAGAACUUGGGCUACAGCAGAUAUUACUACUAAAAAAAAAAACCUUGUUAAUUGACUACUUGAUGAAUAUUGUCUCCGUCUAGUCCCCUAUAGCACAGAGCUGAUAAGCUGAGGGACAGAAGGGGAGGCAAGAGAGCCUGAAAUACAAAAGUAGAACUUUACAUGAGUACAUGCUGUUGGAAAAUUAAAUGUGGGUAAGAAAAACAAUUAAAAAGCAUUUGCAAUUCUCUCCCCAGGCUCAAUGAUUGUUGACAUAAUGAUGUGAACUCAUCCAGAUUUAUAUCUAUGGCUAUCUGUCUGCAUACACAUAUACAUAUGCUUUGCCUUAAUAUUUUACAAGUACUUGUUUGAACACAAUAAAUUAUGAAACUCUUAGCAUGUGGUAAUAACAUAUUCCAUGUCCUUUUAAAUGACUGUCUAAUAACCUAGCACCUAGAUAUGCCAGCAGCUCCUUAUUGUUGGAUAUUAGGUUCUUACAGCUUUUCGGCAUUACUGAUAAAAAUACACCAAAGAAUGUCUUUGUUAGUAAAUCUUUGUACUUGCCAUUUCCUCUUGCACGGUAAAAUAUUAUCACUGUUACUCUUAAAACUUUGGCAAUAUUUACUGAAUGCACUGUCUGUACCAGGCACUUUACAUAUUAUUUAAUCAUCCCUCCACCCUGCCAUUUAUAGAUAAGCAAAAUUACUUGGGAGACGCUGAGUCAUUUGUCUGAUAUUACUGUUAUUCAUGUUUUCCUUACCUUCUGUACAUAUUGCCAAACUGUCUUCUGGCUUGGGAAUGCUUUGGUGGUACUAGAACCUGUCACUGCAGGUAACCCUUCCACACAUCUCCUCUAGAGAACUAGCCCCAUUUUUAUUGGUCCAUCAAGACAUGUUUUCCCCUUAUGUUUGCCCAAACCUUGGUGAUAGUUUAAUUACCUUGCACUACCUGGUAGUGACUCGCCUUCUGAUUAGAAUGCAUUCCACAGAAGCAGUUCAGUAAUGGCUCAAAGUCUU